rnacentral:lncRNA from 1 species
CAACUGGAGCCAUCCUCCUGCCUCAGCCUCCUGAGUGCUGGGAUGACAGGUGUGCAGUGAAUGACGAUUUUUAAAGCACACAUGUCUGUUACUCUCUAGGUAAGGAAUCAGAACACGACACCAACUGUCCCCCUCCAUCACAAUGCCCUCUGUCUACCCUGCAGGGAGCCACUGUCCUGACACAGGAGUGUUCUUUUCCUUGCCUCUCUUUCUGGUUUUACCAACUCUCUUCCAGGGGCCUCAGCCUGAGAUAGAAAGGUUUGGAGUCUGCAGGAGACAGGGCCAGAGGGGGAAGCAGGAGGUCUUCGAGAUCACUGCGGUGUGUAGGCUCCCAGGCAAGCCCACCUGCCAUUGUCCCUCAGCCUGCAGGGCUCCAGGCACGGUUCUGCUGAACCAUUGGCAUCUUUCACCAUGUUUUCCAGACUUUGAGGACCAGGAAAAGCACCCCUCACAGCCAUGUGCAUUCUGGGAAACUCCUUAAGAUGAAAGAAAUAGUCCUUUCAUAGUUAUUAUUUUCUGUUAUUUCUUGUCAGUUUAUAAGGAAGCAAUUUAAAAUUAAAAAAUAAUUUCCUUUAGAUCAACUUAUUAAUAAUGAUUCUUUAGGCUGGGGUAUAGCUUAGUGGUGGAGCACAUGCUUAACAUGUACAAGGCCCUAGAUUUUAUCCCCAGCACCAAUUAUAAUAAUGAUGAUGGUGAUGAUUCUUUAAUUUAUUCAACAGCAAAUAUUUUUUGAGUGCUUGGGAGAAGGCAGACACUAUUGUAGACAGUGAGUGAACAGAUAGCAUUCUCUACCCUCUGGAGCUGGCAUUUAAGUAGGGGAGCCAGAAAAUAAACAAAUGUAUAUGUAAGGUACAAAAUAUAUCCUAAAUAGAAGCUUUGAUGAAGAUUCUUAAUCCAUAAAGACCUCAUACUUUUGUCUUAACCACAUAAUGUGGUUAUGAAGAACAAAAAUUAAUUAUGAAAUGAUGACAUAAACUUAAAUUGCUAUAUAUAUAUACCUGGCUAUUAUGACUUGUGUUUAGAUGCCCCCACUAAAGCCUCACACAGUCAUCGGUGGGGCUUUUUCAGAAGUGGCUGGAUCUAGAGUGUGUGGUGCUGGGAUUGAUUCUUGGUGCAAUGCUGAGGAUCAAGGGCACUAGGAUUAAGGGCAUGAGAGCUACCCACCCAAGUGGCCUGGAUAAGAUAAAAGAGGCAGAAAGAUGCUGCUAAAGCCCCUUGCUUGUUUUGCUACCUUCUGCCCACCAUGAACUGUUUCUCCUCUGCAAUGCCUCUCUGCUUUGUUACUCUACCAUGGAGCCAGCUGAUUAUGGACUAAAACCUCUACAAAUUGUGAGCUAAAUAAAACCUUCCCCCUUUAACUUGGGUGUUGGGUAUUUUUUCUCAGCAACCAGAGAAAAGUAACUAAGAUAGAAUUUGGUACUGAGGGUAGGGUUGAUGCUGUGACAUUACCUGGUGAUGUGGCUCAGGAGCCUUUGGAACUGGCUUGUAGAAAGGGGAAGAGUUAGGAAAGGUUCAGAGAUGCUGGCUAAAAAAAGUAGAACUGGAACAACUUAGGAUGUACUGGUUGAGAGAUCCUGGUCAGAGCUCAGAAGACAAGAAUGCUGAUAGAAGUGCUGCUGGCAAAGACCAGGCUCAGGAGGUUUCUGUUGGGAAAGAGGACUGCUUGGCUGUUGGACUCCAGACAAUGUGUGUUAUGGCAUGGCAGAAAGUUUGUCUGCAUUUUGCUCAUGUCCAGAGGCUUUGCCUGAGACUGGUAUUAAGGGUGGUGAAGUAAUUAAUCUGGUAGAAGAAAUUUCAAGGCAGUCCAAUGUUGAGGCAGUGGCAUGAGUACUGUUGGGGGCUUUUAGCCAGAUUUAUGUUGAGAAUCAAGAACAAAGAGCCCAGCAGAAUGGUUUAAAAUGUUUUGAGUAUGGCCAGAAAGGAAGCUCCAGUAAAGCUGGGUCCUACAAAGAUAGAGUAGAGGAGAUCUUGAUUGAUAAGAAGAGACAGGUGAAUAGAAAGAUGGUCUAAGAGCAUUACAAAAAGUGAAGCAAAGCAUCACUUUGCAGCCCCAAAACUGCAAAUGAAAGACUGCUUUGAGAAGAGAGCCCCCAGAACACCAUGUUCCAGAAUGGCAACAGCCUAGGGAAGUUUUCCUUGGGAUUUGAUUCAUAAGCACUCAACACCUACAGCCAAGAGAGAAGGAAGCCUGGUUACUGCUCCAGUGCUUGGCAGACCUUGGCAUUAUCCUAGUGGUGCUGGGGAUAUAAGGGAUAGAAAAAAGCUGUGGUCAUCCCUUGUUGUUUUGCUAUCUUCUGCCCACCAUGAACCAUCUCCUCUGUGAUGCCUGUUUGCCGGGCCACCCUGCCUUGGAGCCAGCAGAUUAUGGACUGAAACCUAUACAAACUGUGAGCUAAAUAAACCUUUCUCCCUUUAACUUUGGGUGUUGGGUAUUUUGUCUCAGCAAUAAGAGAAAAGUAACUAAAUAGUAUCCAAAUGAGGCACAUGUCUUGCUGUUCCUUUGGGUAAUUCUUUAUUUCCCUUCUAUGUUCAGCCUAAACAAGCUGGCUGGUCCAGCUAUCAGCAGAGCAGAGCUUGUGGAAGCCCUUCUGGUUCUGAGUGCUGAAAUAAACUAUUAAACUUAUUUUGUUUAUACUUUUUCUAUUUUUUCCUUUUUGUGAUACUAUGGAUUUAAUCCAGGGCUUUUGCACAUUUCCAGUCCUUUUUAUUUUUUGAUACAAGAUCUUCCUAAAUUGCCC